rnacentral:rRNA from 1 species
AUUGAACGCUGGCGGCAUGCCUUACACAUGCAAGUCGAACGGUAACGGGCCUUCGGGUGCCGACGAGUGGCGAACGGGUGAGUAAUACAUCGGAACGUGCCCGAUCGUGGGGGAUAACGAGGCGAAAGCUUUGCUAAUACCGCAUACGAUCUACGGAUGAAAACAGGGGACCGCAAGGCCUUGCGCGGACGGAGCGGCCGAUGGCAGAUUAGGUAGUUGGUGGGAUAAAAGCUUACCAAGCCGACGAUCUGUAGCUGGUCUGAGAGGAUGAUCAGCCACACUGGGACUGAGACACGGCCCAGACUCCUACGGGAGGCAGCAGUGGGGAAUUUUGGACAAUGGGCGCAAGCCUGAUCCAGCCAUGCCGCGUGCAGGAUGAAGGCCUUCGGGUUGUAAACUGCUUUUGUACGGAACGAAAAGCCUUCUUUUAAUACAGGAGGGUCAUGACGGUACCGUAAGAAUAAGCACCGGCUAACUACGUG